AAUAACCAAAAAAAAAAAAAAAAACAGCGAUAAAACAGUCAUAUAGGCGUUUCGUUGAAGCGGACAUUAUAUGAUGUGUAUUAUAUAUAAAAACCACUUCAAUGAAACGUCUAUAUAACAGUGCUCAUGUUGUCAGGGAGACCGCAGUUUCAUCGUAAACAUUGUAUUCAACAACAGUCUGAACAGAACUUCUCAAAAUAACAAUAACAAUUAUAACGAGACGAAACCAGAACCCAAAAAACCAAAUAAAACAAAAAGAGAUAUGAAAACGAAAAAACCAUGAACAAAACAAAAGUUAAAAAAAAUAUGUCAUAUCUGGAGAGAAUAGCUCCAUUAAUAAAAAAUGCAAAAGUAGAUAAUGAACUGGUAAAUUAAAUUAUGGUAAAACAAAAUGAUGAAAUAAUAAACAUUAAAUCACCAUCUGACGGCGAAAUUUAUAGCGAUUAUUGGACCAUAAAUCACUAUAAAACCAAAAAUAUUCAAAAUAUUAAUGCUAAAGACAGGUGAUAUAUUAUAUAAAUAUAUAAUUCUUAGAAUUUACUUAAAUACAACUUACAAUGACUAACUCCCAUAAAAAAAAAAAAUAAUUAAAGAAAUUCAUUGAUUGAUGCGUAUGCAAUAUUUAAAAGGUUCAAAGGUAUAAUACAUUUUUGUUUUGAGGUAUAGUUGACGGAAAUAAAUUAUAUGUUUUUAAUCUUGAUGUGUAUGUGGUAUAUUGCGGAUAUGUUGGAUAUGGUUGGUUUCGUACUAAAGAAACUAAUGAAGAAUAAUCGCAGCUAGUUUUUUGAAAGUUCAUGUUUUUUUUUUUAUUUUAAAGAAAAAAAUUAAAUUUAAAAUUCUUACUAAAAAAAUAAAUGUAUAAGUGAAACAAGACAAUAAAAUAAAAAGCAUAAUUUGGUUUAACAACGGAUUAUUAGUUACUGAAAUGUAUAGCUAAAUUAAUUUUAGUACGAAUGAAUAAAAAAAGUUCAGUGUUACCAACACUUAUGAAUAAUACAUUGAUGGUAAAAACAUAUUUAUUUUGUUUGUGUAACAAAUGAUACAGACACAGUUGUGUGAUGUGUUGUACAAUCACAAAAACUGUUAUCAUACUUUUUAAAAAACUUGUGUUACAGGGUGGGAGCAUGUAGAAAUGUCCGCUUUAACUGAAGAAAUCUCCCUGUAAAAAAAGUGCUCAGAACAUACAAAUAUAUACUAUUCACUGUAUAAUAUAAUAUGUAAUAACUCAUUAGAUACACGUAUAGUACAGUAAAUACGGCCUUUUUUUAUCUGAAUUUAUAGGAAAUUGUUCGAUUACAUCGUUGUACAGUAGGGUUUUGUCAUGGACGGGGAUAUGAUUUUAUCCAGUAUAGCUUUACCUUUAAAGUUAUAGGCCUUAAGUUAGGACUCCGAAAACGUUUGUAUAUUAUAUACAGCCUAUGGGGGGGGGGGGAUUGAUUCCCUUGAUCACCCCGUAAAUACUGUCGUUGUACAUUUUAAUAGUUCAAGCGCUUUUCGUAUCCAAAGAUACUAGGUAUGUUUAAUGCAGCUAAAUAUUCUAUGUUGUAGGUAGCUAAACAUUAUAGGACAUAGGUUUUCAGAAGAGUGAAGACAAUGUAGAACUAAGGUUUACAUUUUUACUCUUCGUGAAAAAUGACCUUUCUUUUGAACAAUAAUAUUAUUGGCAGCUGAUGUGAUUAAACAUACGUAUAAGUCACGCAGGGCAAUAAAAACACGAGCGUAGAAAAAUUGUUGCCAUUUUUUUCUAUCUUAUGAAAUAUCACGUACACAUAAUUUCUUUUAAGUAUAUUGAAAAUGUGUAUGUUACGGUCAAAGCGUAUAAUAUUCGAGAAAAACAAAAUCUGUUUUUAAUUUUGUAACAUUGCCCGGAAAUUUUGUAAUACAAUGUCCGCGAAUUUUGUGAAGUGGCCAAUUUACCGUUUGUGGGUAAUAUACAUUUUUAGUUUUUCGUACAGAGAAAUAAGUGUUUCUCGACGUCUCGACGUCCGCGCAUUUAUAUAGGUAGAAUUUUUUUGGUCACGUGCCUGUAUGAUGAUAACGAUUAUUGAUUGCUCGAUUACAUAUUUAUAUUCAAUAACGCUAUUCGCUAGUAACCCAGUAUAAUGACUGCGUAUUUGAAUAUUUCAAUAGCGAUGCUGUUGUUUGAUUUGGAUACCUAUCUGUAACUGUAAUAUUUUCAAGAUAAUAAUUUACAUACUUAUUGCACGUGUCACGUAUGACAAAUUUAUCAGAAGGUAUGCCGAUGACAACCUAGGCCGGAGAUAUAAUACUGGGUGAUUAUUUCAUCAUUGAAGACUCAGUUAUUUAAAAGUAUAAAUAUUUUUGAAAACAAUUUUUUUACACGGUUUUUAGUUGUUAAAAAACAAAAUUUUAAAAAGCAAUAGGUAUAAUAUGUAAUUGGCCAUAUGCCCAUAUAUUAUGGUAAUAAUUAGUGAUUCGAGUUGGUGUAUAACUGAAAAUGUAUAGCCGUGAGUGUACGUUACUAUAAUAUAUUUUAAUAAAUCGGUGGCAUAUCGUAUACCUGAUUCGGUUGAAAGCACUGUUAGAGUGUAAGAUAAACCACGAUUGGCGCCUAUUUUAAGACACAAACGACAUGUAUAUCUAGUCCCUUUGUAUACUCUCGUGAUGGCACUUAUUUUACUUAGCCUAUUUGUUUUCGUAUUUUGUGCUGCAUAUUAAUUCUUUUCGUACGACUUCUGCAAGUUGCAACCGCAGCUAGCGUGUACUUAUAUGGUCAAUAUACUAAAAAAUAUCUGAUGAAUUGGUCUAACAUUUAAAACUUAAACCCAAAUAAUGUAUGCGUGUACAUAAAUAUAUUUAUCUUAGAUAAGUCUUCAAAGAGUUUUUGAUGCAAUGACGCAUAGUAUGCACAAUUUACUACGACUUAUUUAUAAUACAGUAGAACUUCCAUAUAACAGCCACCGAAGGGACUGUAUAUAAUAACCGCUAUUUAGAGGUGCCCGUCCUACAGAGGUAGAAUAACACUAGGAUACACUCGACGGGA